ensembl:lncRNA
GUGUGUGUGUGUGUGUGUGUAACUAUUGGACAAUCAGGCACCUGGAUAUAGUCUGCAGCCUCAUACUACAGCAUGUUUCUGGGGUUCAGUGGCGCUCUUUACCCCACCCAUCUCCAGCUAUCUGUUUAAUGUCCAAUUCACUGAGAAAAGCGGAGAAAAUACGCCAGAUAGACCGCAGAAAAGCACCUAUCCGCGGCUCUUCAGACACGAGCUCGACCCGCACGUGAGGAAUCUGCUGUCAUCGGUGGAUGAGACCCUCUGAUCGGGCAGUUCUUCAUGAAUCUUCGUGCACAUGUAGAUCCUCCGCCGAAUUCGACAGGAAUACAGAGCUAAGGCUGACAGCGACCCUACCUGCCAUCUAAAUAUCGAAGGAUUUUUACUCGUCGGCCUUAAUCGAGGGAGAGUAACUCACUAAGGGAAGGACACAAGGGAUCGUAGUUCGCGUCCAGCGGGCGGGCAGAUGAGUGGAAUAAGCCAGAUGACAGUAGGAGAGAGAAAGACGAAGCGGAUCCAGAUUCAGGGCCUUUUCUAAACUGGAGCCCCCAAAAGCAGCGGCUCACAUCAGAAGACGAGGGAAAGGAGAUUUGACCAGAAAAGACAGAAAAUAACCUCUGAUCGCGUCUGCACCGGAUUUGGGAGCCUCACAUCAACCCGGGAGCUGCGUUAUGAUUCUUGUGCCGUCAUUUUGGUGGAAAUAUUUAUUAUUUUAAUUUCCAGUUCUAUCAGUCCCUUUCGGUUGGUCUGGUGCUGGAGGACGGAUUGGGUUUAAGACACCCCGAAACACCUAAAUAGGAGCCUCUGGUUAUCAACAAAGGAUACUGACAGACAGACGCUAUAAUAUUUUGGAACCUAGUAUGAUUUCUCUGAAGUAAAAAUCUAGACCGCGUUUGCGUUUUUCAUGAAGGCGUCGUGGGAAACCCAGAACACAAGCCCUUAUGAGAGCUAACGGGAAUGCCGCCUGGUCUUUAGACGGAUUUUGAUGACAUCGUUCCGGGCUUUGAGAGCAUAACGACGCGAAGGUCCAGGUGUUGUCACCAGCUUCGCGACCCUCCAGUUUCACGGCGGCGCUCGGCCAGAUCAACACACCACAAGCUAACGGCUAGGUUCUGGGAGUAGAGAGGGGGCUGGGCUUCGCACUGAGUGCUUGUCCAUGGGACGAUAUCAAUGUCACCAUUCUUAAGCACAGGGCUUUCCUCCAGGGCCAGUCAAGGGA